UUGCUCUUGAGAUAUAACAAAGGGAUAUCGCGAGUAUUGACCGAGCUUGAAUUAGAGAUUGGUGAAGCAGUGAAUCCAGCAGAAGUGAAGUUUUCGUUUUCAGGAUUGGUUCCAAUGUAAGAGACAAGAUAGUCUUUAAGAAGCGCCUUUGAUCCGAAACGGCUUACAUGAGAACUCGUCCCUGGUUCAGCAUCAGGACCUGUUCUUCUCUUUACAGCUUGGUAUUGCUGCUUCAAUGUCUCUUUACUCAUGUCAUGAAGCUCACUGUUCCCCCCCCAAAAAACACAAAACAGAGAAGUGUUUCUCAAAGUCUUGAAGAACAAUCAAAUCAUUUGAUAUUACAUACAGAUUUGAGUCUUUUUUUGGGUUGAAGUACCUGUCCUCAAGCCAAGAGACGCUAAAUGUAUCGCCGAGACAAACACCAUUAUAUUCAGGAGGAGGAGGAGGAUAUUCACCAGGACAGUAGAUUCCAAAACUGCUCUCUGUCGCAUUAGAAGCAGUUACUGCAAGUAUGUUUAGACUGGUCUUUAAAAUCCCUUCAAACAUACUUCCAGACUCACAUGCUUCAACAUAAAUCACCUAAACAUCACACACACACAGAAAACAACUCAAAGAUUCAAGAACAGAACACUAUAUAUAUAAAAAGAUGCUCGAACACACUAGAAAGGAUGUUUCUAGUUGGGGUUGAACCAACUCUCAGGCCAAGAGAGAGAGAUGACGAUGAAUGAGUUGAGUUAUUAGUACCAUCUUCUUGUAUCUUUUAAGCUUAUGCAUCUUCUCCAAGACUUUAAUGAAAUCUUUUGCAUGGAUAUCUUCACCAUCUGGCAUCGCUGAGAAUAAUAAACAUUGACCAAGAAAUCCUGAGAGAUAGAUAGUGAAACAUCAAAAACAUAUAUAUGUUUAUUAUUCAAUCUUGAAAGAUGAGACUUCACCUUGCUCUUGAGAUAUAACAAAGGGAUAUCGCGAGUAUUGACCGAGCUUGAAUUAGAGAUUGGUGAAGCAGUGAAUCCAGCAGAAGUGAAGUUUUCGUUUUCAGGAUUGGUUCCAAUGUAAGAGACAAGAUAGUCUUUAAGAAGCGCCUUUGAUCCGAAA
rnacentral:lncRNA from 1 species